UCUUGCUGUUCAGGCUGCUGCCAUGCCGGCUGGCUAGGUCGCUCUGAGGAGAGUUCACCAGAGGCUCUGCUUUGCUUGUGCCUGAAGAAGUAGUCAUUGUAGCUACAGCCCCCAAAUAUAUUAAUUGGAGAAAGAGAAAGAUCUCCUGAAACACAAGCUCCACCUAUACUGAUUAGAGGAAGAGAUGUAUAGACAACAAGGUACGAACACACUCAACAAUAUAAAGAGAAAUAAGGCAUCACUAGAAACUAGUGGUGCUACAACAGCAAGAUCUGAACAUCCCAACCCAGAUGAAGCAGAAUAAAGCGACCUAAAAUGUAACUUUAUGAGGAUGACUGAGGAUCUUAAAGAGGAAGUGAAAAAUUCCCUUGAAGAAAUGGAGGAAAAGACAAACAAGAAAUUGGAAGAAAUUAACAAAUCCCUUAAAGAAAACCAAGAAAAAAGCAACCAUACAAGUGAGGGAAAUGAUUCAAAACUUGAAAUCUGAAAUAGAGGCAAUAAAGAAAACACAAACCAAGGGAAUUCUGGAAGUGGAAAAUCAGGGUAAAUGAUCAGGAACCACGAAUGCAAGCAUAAACAACAAAAUGCAAGAGAUGGAUGAGGAGAGAAUUUCAGGCACUGAAGAUGCAAUAGAGGAAAUAGGUUCAUCAGUCAAAGAAAAUGUUCAAUCUAACAAGUUCUUAACACAAAACAUCCAGGAAAUCUAGAACACUAUGAAAAGACCAAACCUAAGAAUAAUAGGGAUAGAAGAAUGAGAAGACUUCCAACUCAAAGGCACAGAAAACAUAUUCAAUAAAACAAUAGAACAAAACUUUCCCAACCUAAAGAAGGACAUGCCUAUGAAAGUACAAGAAGCUUACAGAACACCAAAUAGACUGGACCAAAAAAAAAUUAAAGUCCUGUCACCAUAUAAUAAUCAAAACACUAAACAUACAGAAUGAAGAAAGAAUAUUAAGAGCUGCAAAGAAAAAAGGCCAAGUAAUAUAUAAAGACAGAAUUACACCUGACUUCUCAAUGGAAACUCUAAAAGCCAGAAGAUCCUGGACAAACAUUAUUCAGACACUAAGAGACCAUGGAUACCAGUCCAGACUACUAUACCCAGCAAAGCUUUCAAUCACCAUAGACAAAGAAAACAAGAUAUUCCUUGACAAAACCAGAGUGCAAAAUUAUACAGCCACUGUGGAAAUCAGUAUGGCAAUUUCUCAGAAAAUUAGGUAUCCUACCUCAAGACCCUUCAUUACCACUUUUGGGCAUAUACCCAAAGGAGGCACAUUCACGUCACAAGGACAUUUGCUCAACUAUGUUCAUAUCCACAUUAUCCAUAAUAGCCAGAACUUGGAAACAACCUAGAUGCCCCUCUACCAAAGAAUGGAUAAAGAAAAUGUGGUGCAUUUGCACAAUGGAGUACUACUCAGCAGUAAAAAACAAUGACAUCCUAAAAUUUGCAAGCAAAUGGACUGAACUAGAAAAAAAAAUCCUAGUGAGGUAACCCAGACCCAAAAAGACAAAUAUAGUAUGUACUCUGUCAUGUGGAUACCAGACAUAAAGUAGAAGAUACCCAGUCUACAAUCCACAACCCCAGAGAAGCUACAACCCUCUUCCAGAAACAGAUGGAAGCAGAUGCAGAAAUCCACAACUAAUUAUUGGGCCAAGCUUCUAGGGUACAAUCAAAGCGAGGGAGGAGUGAUAAUAUGAACAAAGAAGUCAAGAUCAUGAGGGGGACAUGUCGGGGC
rnacentral:lncRNA from 1 species